rnacentral:rRNA from 1 species
GCAAGUCGAACGCUGAAGCCGACAGCUUGCUGUUGGUGGAUGAGUGGCGAACGGGUGAGUAACACGUGAGUAACCUGCCCCUGAUUUCGGGAUAAGCCUGGGAAACUGGGUCUAAUACCGGAUAUGACCAAUCCUUGCAUGAGGGUUGGUGGAAAGUUUUUCGAUCGGGGAUGGGCUCGCGGCCUAUCAGCUUGUUGGUGGGGUAAUGGCCCACCAAGGCGACGACGGGUAGCCGGCCUGAGAGGGCGACCGGCCACACUGGGACUGAGACACGGCCCAGACUCCUACGGGAGGCAGCAGUGGGGAAUAUUGCACAAUGGGGGAAACCCUGAUGCAGCGACGCAGCGUGCGGGAUGACGGCCUUCGGGUUGUAAACCGCUUUCAGCAGGGAAGAAGCGAAAGUGACGGUACCUGCAGAAGAAGUACCGGCUAACUACGUGCCAGCAGCCGCGGUAAUACGUAGGGUACGAGCGUUGUCCGGAAUUAUUGGGCGUAAAGAGCUCGUAGGUGGUUGGUCACGUCUGCUGUGGAAACGCAACGCUUAACGUUGCGCGUGCAGUGGGUACGGGCUGACUAGAGUGCAGUAGGGGAGUCUGGAAUUCCUGG